UACGGGGGGAGCAAGCGUUGUUCGGAUUUACUGGGCGUAAAGGGCGCGUAGGCGGCACUGCAAGUCAGUUGUGAAAUCUCCGGGCUUAACCCGGAAAGGUCAACUGAUACUGCAGGGCUAGAGUGCAGAAGGGGCAACUGGAAUUCUCGGUGUAGCGGUGAAAUGCGUAGAUAUCGAGAGGAACACCUGCGGCGAAGGCGGGUUGCUGGGCUGACACUGACGCUGAGGCGCGAAAGCCAGGGGAGCGAACGGGG
rnacentral:rRNA from 1 species